rnacentral:rRNA from 1 species
AAAUGAAUAGACGGGGACCCGCACAAGCGGUGGAGCAUGUGGUUUAAUUCGAAGCAACGCGAAGAACCUUACCAGGUCUUGACAUACUCGUGCAAUUCUCAGAGAUGAGAAGUUCCUUCGGGACACGGGAUACAGGUGGUGCAUGGUUGUCGUCAGCUCGUGUCGUGAGAUGUUGGGUUAAGUCCCGCAACGAGCGCAACCCUUAUGUUUAGUUGCCAUCAUUCAGUUGGGCACUCUAGACAGACUGCCGGGGAUAACUCGGAGGAAGGUGGGGAUGACGUCAAAUCAUCAUGCCCCUUAUGACCUGGGCUACACACGUGCUACAAUGGAUAGUACAACGAGCAGCGAACCGGCGACGGUAAGCGAAUCUCUUAAAACUAUUCUCAGUUCGGAUUGUAGGCUGCAACUCGCCUACAUGAAGUCGGAAUCGCUAGUAAUCGCGGAUCAGCACGCCGCGGUGAAUACGUUCCCGGGUCUUGUACACACCGCCCGU